CGUACCAGGCAGUGAUGCAACCGAUGCUCUCAAUGUUGUAGCUGUAGAACCUUUUGAGGAUCUCGGGACCCAUGCCAAAUCUUUUUAGUUUCCUGAGAGGGGAGUGGCUUUGUCGUGCCCACUUCGACUGUCUUGGUGUGUUUGGACUUAUUUACAUGAGACCCACCAGCACAGCCUGAUGGGAUAGCUCCGACCCAGCCUGGUCCUCCAAGCACAGCCAUACACAGCCGGGGAGCAGAAACAUGAGACCACACCUUGACCCCAGUCACCUUAUGAAUACACACAGUACAUAUUUUGGAUCCACAGUAAGAAACAGCCAAGGAAUCUAAUCUUCACAUUGGACAGGUCCUCAUGUGACUGUCAUUUUGAUGUCAUUUAACCCUUGUUACACACACUUGCUGUAUGCUUUAUUGACCAGUGCUGAAGAGUAUACGCAAAUCAUUGUGUUUUAUAUGAAACUAUC